UACGAAGGGGGCUAGCGUUGCUCGGAAUCACUGGGCGUAAAGGGUGCGUAGGCGGGUCUUUAAGUCAGGGGUGAAAUCCUGGAGCUCAACUCCAGAACUGCCUUUGAUACUGAAGAUCUUGAGUUCGGGAGAGGUGAGUGGAACUGCGAGUGUAGAGGUGAAAUUCGUAGAUAUCUGGAGGAACACCGGUGGCGAAGGCGGCAUCCUGGACCGGCAUUGACGCUGAGGCGCGAAAGCCAGGGGAGCAAACGGG
rnacentral:rRNA from 1 species